rnacentral:pre_miRNA from 1 species
GAUGUACUCCCUCCAUCCCAUAUUAAGUGACUUUCUAUUACAUGUAUCUAGACGCUUUUUAGACAUAGAUACAUCCAUAUUUGGACAAAUUUGAGUCACUUAAUAUGAGACGGAGGGAGUAUAUA